GAUGAACGCUAGCGGCAGGCCUGAUACAUGCAAGUCGAACGAGAUUAAGAGGCUUGCUUCUUAUGAAAGUGGCGCACGGGUGCGUAACGCGUAUGCAACCUACCUUAAUCAGGGGGAUAGCCCGAAGAAAUUCGGAUUAAGACCGCAUAAAAACACAGGAUAGCAUUAUCCAAUGUUCAAAUAUUUAUAGGAUUAAGAUGGGCAUGCGUGUCAUUAGCUAGUUGGCGGGUAACGGCCCACCAAGGCGACGAUCCGUAGCUGGUCUGAGAGGAUGAUCAGCCACACUGGAACUGAGACACGGUCCAGACUCCUACGGGAGGCAGCAGUGGGGAAUAUUGGACAAUGGGCGCAAGCCUGAUCCAGCCAUACCGCGU
rnacentral:rRNA from 1 species